UCUGAUACCAACUUGAAAAAUAGGUUUGCACAGAAUUAAUUAUUCUGUCAUUGAGAUUGUUCUUUUAUAGAGAUUUACAGCACACAUAAAACCAUUAAAUCAGGAAACUAAAUCACUGAUUUAAGGAAAGAAUAAUUUCUAGGUAGAUUUUCCUAAAAUACAUAGAUUUGCACCUAAAUAGCUAUGUUACAGCUAAUGACUAAUUUACAGCUAAUAUAUAAUUACAGCACAUAUUUUUUCUAAUUUUCUAACAGU
rnacentral:lncRNA from 1 species